GGGUUGAUAACUCAAUGGUAGAGUACUCGGCUUUUAACCGAAUAGUUCCGGGUUCAAAUCCCGGUCAACCCA
rnacentral:tRNA from 1 species